rnacentral:rRNA from 1 species
UACGAAGGGGGCUAGCGUUGCUCGGAAUUACUGGGCGUAAAGGGCGCGUAGGCGGCUCUGUUAGUCAGGCGUGAAAGCCCUGGGCUCAACCCUGGACAGGCGGUGGAAACUACCAAGCUGGAGUACGGUAGGGGCAGGGGGAAUUUCCGGUGGAGCGGUGAAAUGCAUUGAGAUCGGAAAGAACACCAACGGCGAAAGCACUCUGCUGGGCCGACACUGACACUGAGAGACGAAAGCUAGGGGAGCAAAUGGG